GGAUUUCCACAGCCUAAAAACACCAUAUGAUCAUUGUCCUCUCCACAAUCCCCGAACACACUGAUUCUAACCAUGGAAUGGAGCUUUGUCUUUCUCUUCUUCCUGUCAGCAGCUGCAGGUGUCCACUCCGAAGUUCAACUGCAGCAGUCUGGGGCUGAGCUGGUGAAGCCUGGGGCUUCAGUGAAGUUGUCCUGCAAAACUUCUGGUUACACCUUCAGCAAUUACUAUAUGAGUUGGUUGAAGCAGAUGCCUGGACAGAAUAUUGAGUGGAUCGGAAACAUUUAUGGUGGAAAUGGUGGUACUGGCUAUAAUCAGAAGUUCAAGGGCAAGGCCACACUGACAGUAGACAAAUCUUCCAGCACAGCGUACAUGGAUCUCAGCAGCCUGACAUCUGAGGACUCUGCAGUCUAUUUUUGUGCAAGGCACAGUGUUUUAACCACAUCCUGAGUGUGUCAGAAACCCUGGAGGAGCAGCAAGCUCCCCUAGGUCUGAGAUAACAGAAAAGAAUAGCAUUUAGACUUCCUCAGAAAUAACCAUUUUGAGCGUCUACUUUUUGCCUUCUCCUCAGGAACCUACAGUGACUUUAUUAACUUUGUUUAAGUAACCUAACAUUAAGGUUGUGUUGCUUUAAGAUCUUCUACUGUACACCAAAACAUUUUAAUGACUUGAUCAGUAAUUACCUCCAUUGACAUGUUUCU